rnacentral:tRNA from 1 species
GUCUCUGUGUUGCGCAAUUGGUUAGCGUGUUCGGCUGUUAACUGAAAGGUUGGUGGUUUAAGCCCACCCAGGGAUG